UACAGAGGGUGCAAGCGUUGCUCGGAAUUAUUGGGCGUAAAGGGUAGGUAGGUGGUCUCAUUUGUCUGGGGUGAAAUCCUUCGGCUUAACCGAAGAAGUGCCCCAGAAACGGUGAGACUAGAGUCCUGGAGAGGGUCGUGGAAUUCCCGGUGUAGCGGUGAAAUGCGUAGAGAUCGGGAGGAACACCAGAGGCGAAGGCGGCGACCUGGACAGGUACUGACACUCAACUACGAAAGCGUGGGGAGCAAACAGG
rnacentral:rRNA from 1 species